ensembl:lncRNA
GCUGAUCAAAGCAAAGCACUGCGACGUCAAGACAGCAACGCCAAGAUGAUCGAUAAUGAAAUCGUACUUGAAGCACUGGGGGUGAUCUGCAAUGCCGAAGUAACUUCUCUUCAACAAAAACAAAGAUCAGAAGUUGACAUCGUUCCUUUCCUUCUCGGAGCUUUAAAAAAUUUAUUCAUAGCUGCUGAAACUCAGCUGCCUAUUACCCAGCUCAUUUCUACAGUUGUGGAUGGAGAUCAAACCUGUUCGGUGUCACAAAGCAGCUUGUCCAGGAUUCUAUAUGGAGAGCAGGUGUCUGGUGAAAGGCCUGGGAGUCAAAAUGAACAUGUAUCAGAAUUUGAAGUAGACAAAAAAAGGCGUUUCAUCAUCGACGAAGAAGAAUUCUUUGACCCCAGAUUUCACUACGACUUUACUGAAAUGAAAGACACAGAUAACUUUUACAGAGGUGACGAAGAGUACCGGCGUCCCUAUGGUUGGAAGCGUUAUGCUCUCAAGGUCCUGGACAAGUAUGAUGGAAAUGAAUGGCUAGGCACCGCAGGCUAUCGCACUUGGUCAGUGUCAGGGGAGUGGCCUGUGUCCUACCAUGGGACAUCUUAUGACUCUGCUUGUGAGAUCAUCAAAGGACGUUUCAAGCCAGGUUGGAUAAACCUAUAUGGCAGAGGGGUUUAUUCUGCACCUGACAUCACUGAGGCCCUCGCUUAUUGUAAAGAUUUCAAGUCCAAAAAAAACGGCAAGACGUACAAAGUGAUUCUGCAGAAUCGGAUCAACCCCAGUUACAGAGAGAAAUGGAACAAUGAUAAGUACUGGCUGGUUCGCAUCGAUCGUGGAUCAUCAGAAGAAGAAGAGGGAAAGAUGGUGGAGCGUGCCAUUCGUCCCUAUGGCCUUCUGUUGAAAGAGUUCUAAAAGACCAAAAAGGUCACUAGAGGUCGCAGAAAAGACUGAACAAAACAAAAGCACUCCACUCUUUUUGGCCUCAGGCUUGGAGGUGCUGAUUCUCAUUCCUGCUGCUUCACAUUUGGCUGCAAACCUCUCCAGUGUGAGCUGGAGGCCACCACCUGAUGAAGUCAAUGGAACCACAUCAUCUGCAAAAAGCAGAAAGCUAUUCUGAGGCCAACAAAGUGGAAGCUUUCUGCAAUCUGGCUACGCCUAGAAAUUCUGUCCAUAAAAAUUAUCAACAGGAGUGACAAAGACAGCCCUUUGUUCCCAUUUAUUCUACCCGAAACUAAUAAAAUUGCCAUAAACAUUCUUAACAGCCUGAAAGAAGAUUUGAAACAAGGAGAAAAAGCUGAGCUAUGUCAAAUUUCAUGAGAACUGGGCUUAAAACCUGUUGUUACAGGUCUUAUGGAUUGAUGAUUGAAAUUUUUUUAUUUAAAUCAAUGUAAGUAUGUACGGAGGAGGUUAGAACAAAGGUACAACAGUUUUUAUAUCCAUCCAAUAACCAUGGUGGAGGCUCUGUCACAGUUUGGGGCUGGAACCUGGAGCCUGGAGAACUAUUCCUAAAGACAUUAAAGAAAAAAUUACAAGCUUGUAUAAGAGAGUUCAGG